rnacentral:rRNA from 1 species
CCCUGGCAGUCAGAGGCGAUGAAGGACGUGCUAAUCUGCGAAAAGCGUCGGUAAGGUGAUAUGAACCGUUAUAACCGGCGAUGUCCGAAUGGGGAAACCCAGUGCAAUUCAUUGCACUAUCGUUAACUGAAUACAUAGGUUAACGAGGCGAACCGGGGGAACUGAAACAUCUAAGUACCCCGAGGAAAAGAAAUCAACCGAGAUUCCCCCAGUAGCGGCGAG